UCAUUGUUUGUUCACCAGGUUUGCUAACAAUUUUGAUUUUUGUGGGUGAAUAAACGUCCAAAACUGAAGCAAUUCAAACAUGAAACUCAUAAGUACAGACUUUAAAUCUUUUUUUCGAUGUCAGGACAGAAUGUUCUCGUUCUUGGUUGAUGAACCACGGACUCACGGCGAGCUCCUGUUUCCUCUUCACCAGCUCCGCCAGCUCCCGACGAGUGUCCGGGAUUUGCGGCGGGGUCGCCUUCGCGUGCAUCGACAUGAUGGAUCUGUCCGGAACCAACGGGAGGAGGCGCGCGCGCUCAGAAAAGAGGGACGUGUUGGUGGUUACAACGGAGAUGUGACCGCAAGGUGGCGCAAUGGUCACGGAGUGACCCUUUCCCCACCUCGUUUCAUUGUAUUUGAGCUUUAAUGAACAAGCUAAUUCAAAGCAAUUUCGCUAACUUGAGUGUAAUACAGUUUGUUUUUGCAAGUC